GCGACGCGACCGGUCCGCCACCCAUGACGUCUUGAGAAGUCCACUGAACCUUAUCAUUUAGAGGAAGGAGAAGUUGUAACAAGGUUUCCGUAGGUGAACCUACGGAAGGAUCAUUG
rnacentral:rRNA from 1 species